rfam:Arsukibacterium sp. MJ3 EFN4V4W0, whole genome shotgun sequence.
CGUUGGGGCUGAAUUAGUGAUCGGCUCCGGCAUCAUUAAAUUGGAGAUAUACAAUGUCACUAAGUGCAGAUGUAAAAGCUCAAAUCGUAAAAGAUUUCGCACGUGCAGAA